CGGCGACGGGUGAGUAACGCGUAGGAAUCUACCCAGUGUGGGGGACAACCUGGGGAAACCCAGGCUAAUACCGCAUACGCCCCAAGGGGGAAAGCGGGGGCUCUCUUCGGAGACCUCGCGCCAUUGGAUGAGCCUGCGUCAGAUUAGCUAGUUGGUGGGGUAAAGGCCUACCAAGGCGACGAUCCGUAGCUGGUCUGAGAGGACGAUCAGCCACACUGGGACUGAGACACGGCCCAG
rnacentral:rRNA from 1 species